rnacentral:rRNA from 1 species
AUGAACGCUGGCGGCGUGCCUAAUCCCUGCCAGUCGAGCGAACGGACGAGAAGCUUGCUUCUCUGAUGUUAGCGGCGGACGGGUGAGUAACACGUGGAUAACCUACCUAUAUGACUGGGAUAACUUCGGGAAACCGGAGCUAAUACCGGAUAAUAUUUUGAACCGCAUGGUUCAAAAGUGAAAGACGGUCUUGCUGUCACUUAUAGAUGGAUCCGCGCUGCAUUAGCUAGUUGGUAAGGUAACGGCUUACCAAGGCAACGAUGCAUAGCCGACCUGAGAGGGUGAUCGGCCACACUGGAACUGAGACACGGUCCAGACUCCUACGGGAGGCAGCAGUAGGGAAUCUUCCGCAAAGGGCGAAAGCCUGACGGAGCAACGCCGCGUGAGUGAUGAAGGUCUUCGGAUCGUAAAACUCUGUUAUUAGGGAAGAACAUAUGUGUAAGUAACUGUGCACAUCUUGACGGUACCUAAUCAGAAAGCCACGGCUAACUACGUG